AUCCCAUGAUGAGGACACUCGAGUAUGUAAUCUUGAAAGCGUUCCUAAGCUUCUAGUACUAUCUCAUCAUGUUGUUGUUGAAAGCUUGAUAUCUUCCCAUUCAGAGC
rnacentral:snoRNA from 1 species